rnacentral:rRNA from 1 species
UACGUAGGGGGCGAGCGUUGUCCGGAUUUAUUGGGCGUAAAGAGCUCGUAGGCGGCUUGGCAAGUCGGGUGUGAAACCUCCAGGCUCAACCUGGAGACGCCACCCGAUACUGCCAUGGCUAGAGUCCGGUAGGGGACCACGGAAUUCCUGGUGUAGCGGUGAAAUGCGCAGAUAUCAGGAGGAACACCGGUGGCGAAGGCGGUGGUCUGGGCCGGCACUGACGCUGAGGAGCGAAAGCGUGGGGAGCAAACAGG